rnacentral:rRNA from 1 species
GGAGGAUCAUUAUCGUAGGGCUUCGGCCCUGUCGAGAUAGAACCCUUGCCUUUUUGAGUACCUUUCGUUUCCUCGGCAGGCUCGCCUGCCAAUGGGGACCACAAAAAACACUUUGCAGUACCUGUAACAGUCUGAACAAACAAACAAAAAUUAAAACUUUCAACAACGGAUCUCUUGGUUCUGGCAUCGAUGAAGAACGCAGCGAAAUGCGAUAAGUAGUGUGAAUUGCAGAAUUCAGUGAAUCAUCGAAUCUUUGAACGCACAUUGCGCCCUUUGGUAUUCCUUAGGGCAUGCCUGUUCGAGCGUCAUUUAAACCUUCAAGCUAAGCUUGGUGUUGGGUGACUGUCCGCUUCACUGCGGACUCGCCUCAAAAUUAUUGGCGGCCGGUACAUUGGCUUCGAGCGCAGCAGAAACGCGAACUCGGGCCCGUCGUAUUGGCUCCCAGAAGCUAUCUUCACAAUUUUGACCUCGGAUCAGGUAGGGAUACCCGCUGAACUUAAGCAUAUCAAUAAGCGGAGGA